AUCCAACUGACGAGUCCCGAAUAGGACGAGAGGGAUGUCCUGGAU
rnacentral:hammerhead_ribozyme from 1 species